GGGCUGUGAUCGAAUCGGUGAAGUCCGGUGAAACUCCGGUACUGUCGCGCAGCGGUUAAAGUCCGAUCCCGAUUCGUCU
rnacentral:ncRNA from 2 species